CUCCUUUGGGAGUUUUCAGUGAGCCCUGAUCCUUGGAAGGGGCUUCCCUGGAGCUGCCAUGCCGUUCCAUUCCAAGUUCAAUAUGAAGAUGCUGAAAAUCCUUUUGAGGCUGAUACCCUCAUUCUGCUGCAGAGAGCCUGGUCUAUGUGUCAGACGUCCCUGUACAUCCAGAGAGGCAGCAGCAUGUGCCCCAGACUUGUGCCUGGUUUUUAGGAGUGGGAGGUUGGCUGCCCUUUCCUACAGAUGGCUCAUCAGAAGACUUUCUCGGGGUACUCACUUCCACGAGGAGGAAGCAUACAAAAGCAGAUGAGAUAAAAACAGCGAAGCUGAAGAACAGUGGAGGAGGAACAAAGAACUCCAUCCUGCCUCCUCUUUCCCUCCUGCCAAUUAGGACCACAGCCUGCUACCCUUGGUCACAUGGAACAUCCACUUACUCACUUGUGCCAAGCAUCACCUUCACACAUGGCUUCCUUCCAUCCAGUGGUGAACAGGAACAAACCCCAUCCUUGGGAGGCCUCAUUUCUGCUGACUGUGUGCAAGCUGGCUGUCUUAGUGAAUAACAUCUACUUUCGAAGUCUUUCUCUUCAACUGGCUUUAGCACAUUUCUCUCUUGCCCCUUGCAUUUGCAGGUAUCUAGGAGGUAGUAGUGUGCUUGACCUUUUGGCUUUCCUUCUAUUUACACCCUUGGGAGUAGAUGAUCCUCUCUGAUCUAGAGUGAUUAGAGCAUCUGCUUGAGAGCACGAAUUCUCUGUAUAGCCAGGCAUGGGGACACAAUCUACACAGCUUGGGAGCCCACCUAUUUGCUUAGAUAAACAUCCUACCUCCCAGGCAGUUGCUGGAAGACCCUUGCCAGUCUGCAUUUCUAUGAGUCUCCUUAAGUUCCAAGCAUCCAAGAGCCUCAGCCUCUCUGAUUUAGACUAGUAUCCCAAAUAUUUGCAUUUUUGUUCUCCAUAUUCUGCCAUCACCUGCUGCUGCCAGCGCUUUGCAUCUUGGCAGCUGGCUUUUGUCAGAGGGAUUGAUCCAAAAACAUUGCAAGGUGUUGGAAAACCUUAACUGCAGUUAAAUGAGAAGCUGUUGUUUCAGCAGCAUCUGGAGUUUCCAGCUUUUUUCUGCACUGCUGAUGGUUUCAAUCACUGCUCCUUGGCUGGGGUGCAGCAUCCCUGGGAAGCUCUCUGCCUCUGAGUCCACAGAUCUUGUGUUUCUCUUGGCCCAAAACCAUUUGUCUGUUCUCCACCAGAUCAUGUCACAUUACGGGGAAGAUGAACAGUCCUUUUCCAUGGAGCACUGAUUGCCACAGAAUGCCUUUGAUUGAUGCACAUGGGGAUUGCAGCAAUAUGUUCUUGCAUUUUGGAGCUCCUGCAUCCAGAGCCAUCUGUGAUCCCAGCCCAGAGCAUGGUGUGAGGCCAAGCUUUGGGCUUUUCCGCUGCUCCUGGUUCUGAGUGCCACUUGGCCCAAGCUCGUGUCGUAUCCAUCCUCUUGUACAUGCUCUGGGGCAGGAAUUUUCUCUCCUUAUGUAUGUGCAUGCAAAAUGACGAGUCUUUGAUCUCAGCACCUACAAUCCUCUAUUACAGACGAAAGACUAUUUAACGACAAUACCAAGGAUCCAAUUAAUAAUUUUAAACUACUAUGCACAUGGGCUUCUCCAAGACACGUCCAGCCCCUGUCUGCUUCCUGAGACAACACAUUUGCACUGGGUAUGCCGUGCAAUGCUUCGCCCAUUGAGCCCUGAUUUCCUCCCCAGUCUUUCUAGCAGAUGUUGCGUGGGCUCAGGGGUGUUACCCGUGCAGGCCCAGUGCCUGCUGAGGUGCUGGUGGAGCCCAGGGGACAUGUGCCUCAUCUUCUUUGUGAAGGGAAUCAUCUCUGCCUUGUACUGCCGAUGUUAUAAGGGAACCUGACACAGCUCAUUUUCGCACCAUGCCUUUGUCUUUUAAUUCUGGAGGAUGUACUUUCCCUGACAGAAUUUCCAAUUCAGUUCAUUUUCUGUCUCUAUAGUGGGAGGGGAGAAAAAGAGGUGGUUGGAGGGGUUUGCUGCAUGUAUUAUUAAUUGUCCUCAUUUCAAGACAGCGUAGUCUUUUUCUGCCUGAUAUUCCCAUUUUCUCAUAACUGAUAUUGGCUGCAGAUUUGAAAGAGGUUUGGUGUAAUGAAAUGAUACAGAUUUCUUUGUGGUCGCAGUGUUUUUGAAGUUAGGAAACGAGUUUCUUCCAUUUAUCUGCCGCUUACCGGCCCAGUGCCACUCAUCAGUCAAUUGAGCUGCGUGUUGCAGAGCAGUUGAUUAAUGAAGUUACACGCGUUUCCUAGGCUGCUUAGAACAUCGCUCAGAAGAUGCUGUGUCAGAACCUGUCCACUAGACAUCAUUAAAUCUGCAGGAGCAGGAAGAUGCUCUCGCACACAGAUGAACAGGGGUGGGUCAUUUCCCAGCCCUAUUGAUCCUGUUAAGAGGCAAGUGUGGCCUUGGGUAAUAAACAGGGCUUCAUGUUGGGGCUGUGUGCUGCUGCAUGUUGAUUUUCAAGGCUGGCAGCUCUCCUUCCUGCAGAGCCUCCGGUCCCAGGUGGAACGAGUGUUGUGAUUUCAGCCCAGUUCCCGAUGAACGCUGUCUCAGAGCAGGAUAAAAAUGCAUUUCGACUCAGCGGACCACAAUUUGGAAAGUGUCCUGCUUCCAUCUGAGCCACAUCUGAAUGAGGGAGACAGCACAUUUCCAGUAGAAGUAACUAACCCGUUAAUGAACCUUGGAGAGGAGCAGUGGGAGAUUGCUCUGUGUUCAAUGCGCGAGUUUGGUUCCUGCUUUUCCUCUCCCCUGCAGCAAUUCUCAUCUCUUCUCAUGGCUCUUGUCAAGGCGUUAGUGCUCGCAGUGAGGUUUGGACACUGCCUGCUGAUUGCUGCUCCUGAGGGGCAAGGCUCAUGUCCGCACUGCCCGCAGCUCUACUUGGCUCAAUCUUCCCUGCUAGACACUGAGCCUACGGCCUUCCCCUCCAUCACCCUGAAUCACUGUGUCCAAAUCUCAUUCCUCGUUCUGCUAUGUAGCCCUGACACCAGCCUGAGCCCUCUCCUGCAGCAUCCCAGACAGCCUCUCCAUGGGGAGCAGCUCUGCCCAGUCCUUGCUUGCACCAUUUCCUCUAACUUUUAUUUCUUUGGCUUUCCUGGAGCCAUCAAUGUGGGAUUGUCCUCUGCCUUCUCUCUUCCCCCAAUUAGCCCCUUGCAGCUCAUUUCACCCCCCUCCUCUCCCCGUGCCCCUGGGCUGCCUUGUCAUUGCAGCAUGCCCCAGAGCUGCGUCAGGACCCAGCCAUUCUCUUGCUACAAAGGCAAACAUCUCAAGGCAACUGGAGCACGUCCAAGAGGAUUUGUGGUGCUUCCAGCC